rnacentral:rRNA from 1 species
CUUCUUGUUUUUAAAAGACCUAGCAAUAGGUAUGCUUAGGGAGGAGCUUGCGUCACAUUAGUUAGUUGGUGGGGUAAAGGCCUAACAAGACUAUGAUGUGUAGCCGGGCUGAGAGGUUGAACGGCCACAUUGGGACUGAGAUACGGCCCAAACUCCUACGGGAGGCAGCAGUAGGGAAUUUUCGGCAAUGGAGGAAACUCUGACCGAGCAACGCCGCGUGAACGAUGAAGUAUUUCGGUACGUAAAGUUCUUUUAUUAGGGAAGAAUAAAUGAUGGAAAAAUCAUUCUGACGGUACCUAAUGAAUAAGCCCCGGCUAACUAUGUGCCAGCAGCCGCGGUAAUACAUAGGGGGCAAGCGUUAUCCGGAAUUAUUGGGCGUAAAGGGUGCGUAGGCGGUUAAAUAAGUUUAUGGUCUAAGUGCAAUGCUCAACAUUGUGAUGCUAUAAAAACUGUUUAGCUAGAGUAAGAUAGAGGCAAGUGGAAUUCCAUGUGUAGUGGUAAAAUGCGUAAAUAUAUGGAGGAACACCAGUAGCGAAGGCGGCUUGCUGGGUCUUUACUGACGCUGAGGCACGAAAGCGUGGGGAGCAAACAGGAUUAGAUACCCUGGUAGUCCACGCCGUAAACGAUGAGUACUAAACGUUGGGUAAAAACCAGUGUUGAAGUUAACACAUUAAGUACUCCGCCUGAGUAGUACGUACGCAAGUAUGAAACUUAAAGGAAUUGACGGGACUCCGCACAAGCGGUGGAUCAUGUUGUUUAAUUCGAAGGUACCCGAAAAACCUCACCAGGUCUUGACAUGCUUCUGCAAAGCUGUAGAAACACAGUGGAGGUUAUCAGUUGCACAGGUGGUGCAUGGUUGUCGUCAGCUCGUGUCGUGAGAUGUUGGGUUAAGUCCCGCAACGAGCGCAACCCUUAUUGUUAGUUACCAGCACGUAAUGGUGGGGACUUUAGCAAGACUGCCAGUGAUAAAUUGGAGGAAGGUGGGGACGACGUCAAAUCAUCAUGCCCCUUAUGACCUGGGCUACAAACGUGAUACAAUGGCUGUUACAAAGGGUAGCUGAAGCGCAAGUUUUUGGCGAAUCUCAAAAAAACAGUCUCAGUUCGGAUUGAAGUCUGCAACUCGACUUCAUGAAGUUGGAAUCGCUAGUAAUCGCGAAUCAGCAUG